AGCCUGCGAAAAGCGUGGGGGAGUUGGCAACGAAACGUUGAUCCCACGAUGUCCGAAUGGGGAAACCCACCCGCAAGGGUAUCGCUUACUGAAUACAUAGGUAAGCGAGGCGAACCCGGUGAACUGAAACAUCUAAGUAGCCGGAGGAAAAGAAAUCAACCGAGAUUCCCCAAGUAGUGGCGAGCGAACGGGGAAGAGCCUGCUAGUGAUAGCAGUCUCGUUAGAAGAAUGGAAUGGAAAGUCCAGCCGUAGUGGGUGAUAGCCCCGUAUUCGAAAACGAGAUUGUGGUACUGAGCUAGCGAAAAGUAGGGCGGGGCACGUGAAACCUUGUCUGAACAUGGGGGACCAUCCUCCAAGGCUAAAUACUCGUGAUCGACCGAUAGUGAACCAGUACCGUGAGGGAAAGGCGAAAAGAACCCCGGGAGGGGAGUGAAAUAGAACCUGAAACCG
rnacentral:rRNA from 1 species